UAGCAAAGAUGGACGCAAUAACAUGCCCGUGUGCUAGCUAGCCGCAACGCUAACAGUUGCCCCGCAAAAAGGCAAAACCUGGAAUAAACACAGGUUUUCUAGUUUCCUACGUCUCGCGCAGGCGAGGAUGUAGUUAUGUCCGCUCGGUCCUUACAAUGUGAGCGUAAAUCAGUUGCUGAAGAAAAGCUGCGUUCUGUAAGCUUUUGAGUACCUAACUUGGUGGCUAGUUAGCAUGAGCGUGCUACAGCUAAUUUAAAACAGUGCGAGCCACUUUGGCUGGUUUACCGGCAAGCUAAUUAUCGAUGUUGACAAAAUCCAUUGACGACGUUCCAGAAUGUUGUGCGAAUUGCUUUUCUCGUCUCUAUGGUUCCUGUUUGUCAUCUUCUGGGUGGAGACCAUCAGUGUAUGGUUCUUCCUCUCCAUGUUCUACCAAGACAGAGCCUUCUACCAUUGGGGAGAUGGGGUAUUUUCAGAUGAUUCUGGCCAGCUGAUAUACAUGCUGAGCAGAGUUGAUGCCCACAUGCAGAGAGAGAUGUAGCCCUUGGACAUGAAGAACAUCCAGGAGUGAAAACACCUGAAAGGACUCUUUUGAGUUGUGUGUUACCACACUGUGCUGCUUUUUUUUUUUUUCCACUAAUUCUAUCCUCGUCGCCAUACUUAAUGCACAUCGAUCAAAAGAGUGUUGAAGGCACAAAGGGCAGAGACGGCCGGAGCUCUGGGUGGAGUAACACCGGAACGUUUAUUGUUUCACUUUUCAAGGAAGUGAGUGUUGCAGGAAAAAUUAUUAGCAGCUCUUCUUUGUUUAUGUUAUUAUAUUAAUUUUAAUUCCAGAAGGGGUCCUUUUGAUCUGGUAGGAUUUGUACCAAGAUUUUUGCAAUCACGCUGUUGUUCUAUGCAGCUGAAUUUCACGCGGUUUGAAGUCAUUUUUAAGAUUGCAGUCAAUGUUUCCUGUAACGUUAAUACCGAUGACCUGUUUUAUGAAGAAAUAUUGAUGUAUAUAUCGCAGGUGUGGGAGCCAAAAAUUAUCAAAUACAAGUACCAAGCUGAACAUGCAGAACUGUCUCCGUUUUUUACAAGAAUGUACUUCAAGGAAAUCAUCCAUCCACUUUCUGUAGCGCUUGUCCUCAUUAAAGUUGCAAGUUAGCUUGAACCUAUCCCAGCUGAUUUUGAGCAGAAGGCGGGGUACACGCUUAGACUGGUUGCCAGCCAAUUGCAGGGAACAUACAAACAACCAUUCACACUCACAUUCACAGCUAUGAAUAAUUUUGAAUCAAAAUAACAUCACAGGGCGGAUUUAUUUUUUCCACAAAAAAUCUGAUGAGUUCUCUCACAAAAAAGGUCCUCUUUUUUAAAAACUUAUAUAAACACAAUACUGAACGAAUUAACGUUUUAAAUGUUCAACAAUUUAGAGUAAAAUGACACGCAAAACUUCAUGCCUUGGCUGGUACAUAUGCCUGUUUUCUGUUGUUGAUCUCCAGCUCUCUCACACACACAAAAAAAGAAAAGACUGUUCUCUGCUCAUAUUAGGUUUUACAUGUGAGGAAAGGAAACCUUGGCAAAAUAUUUGUCAGCACAUACUUCGGUUCAAAGGUUUCAGACGUUGAUAAAUCACUGUUUUUACAACGUAUAAAUUGGCAGUAUUCCUUUGGCAAAGUUCAGUUCAAUUCGAUUGAGUCAGUGAUUACCUUGUACUCCGGGCUCCAUUCGUGUUUAACGGAACACAAUGAGGAAAUUACUCCGCUCAUGUUGUCUGUUUCUUAGCAGGAAUUAAAGUCUCUGGUCGCAUUUAAAACAAAUAGUCACUCGAGCAGUUGGGAAAGUCUCUAAAUACACUGACCAGCUCGCCAAGUUGGCAACACGGCUUCUGUUUCUGUGCACUUUUCUGUUAACAGCCAUGACGUUAUUAUAAGCCGUGCAACUACGGAAGCUGCUAAAUCAAUAUAAAACAAAAAAAUCACCCAAACAAAUAAAAUCCAAUUAAUCAAUAAAAUUGAUUGUUUACCCAGCCCUACCAUUAUAUGAUAAAAGCUGAAUAUUAAGAAUAGUCAAUUUGAUGACACGAAACACAAGGUUUUGCAGAACAAUCAGUAUUGCUGGAAUUGAAAUACUGUAUGUAGUGUAUAAUGAGCGUAUUUGCAUUAGCAUCUCUUGAUAAAAUUAAGUUGUGUAUGUAAUUGAUAUGUGCUGUUCUAAGUUCUAUUUGCAGUUCUCUGGCCUCAUCGCACUUGUUUGCCAUCAGUGGUACUCUUCUGUGAUAAUGUCAGAAAAAGCCAAAGAGAGUGAAAGUUUUGUUCAACUUGUACCACUUUUGGGCCGAUCGGCUUUGGAGAUUCCACUGUGUUACAGUAAUGAAUUGGUUCACUUUAAAAAAAAUAAUAAUAAUAAAAUUAAAAAGUUUUUUUGUUUGUGUGUGUGUGAUUUAAAGAGAUUAUGUUUUUAAAAACGUGCAUAGUUUUUCUUGUAUUUCAGACAAGUAAAACAUUAUUUUGUAUUGUAAUGCUCAAUUUGUAUUUCAAAGCUUAAUAAAUGGAUGUAUUUUGAAGUCACACCCAGUGUUAUCAAGUCAAACCAGGUGUGGGUAAAAUGUGCUCACAGAUAGGACUCACAAAGUGCUUGUCAUAGGUCAAAUACAGUCUGACAUAUAGUAUAUAAAAUACUGAUCGUUAUGAACUGCCCUUUGUUACAGCUG